AUGUGUGUGUGUGUGAGAGCCGCGAUCCUCCCUCGGGCUCCCACAAUCCUCGUGCGCGCAUCGUGUGCAUGCCGUCACCACCGCCACCGCCGUAGGGGUUGCCGCCGUAAAUGGUGCCUAGCCCUGCGACCCCGCGACCCCGUCCACCCGCGAGACAGGUGGGAGCAACGGUGGAUCACGGCGUCCCUCUCACUUCGGCGAUCUGCAUGAAGGGCACCAGAUAGGGUCCGGUAAGAAUGAGGCGGAGCGAUCAUGAUGGCCACGUCGCGCGGCAGGGUCCACCGCCCUUCCGGGUGCUGGCCGUCCCCGACAACAUGUACCUGUCA